GGGGAAGGGAACAUGCAGUGACACAGCAAGAAACAAAUCCACUGAGCUUCAGAAGCUGUUGCCAGGAGAGAGCUCGGAAAAUAGCAGCAGCUGGUAUCAGACUCUCCGCAUUGUAUUCUUUGAAAAAUUUAAACCCUGGUACAAGAUACGACUGAGGAGCACCUGCCUGGCAAGUGGAAGGGUGUGAUUCAAUCCCUGGUACAAAAAAAAAAAAAGGAAAGAAAAGAAAAGAAAGUAAAGCACAAGAAAACUGGGCCUGAUGGUGCAUGCCUGCAAUUUCACACUCUAAGAGGCUGAGGUGAACUUAAAUGGAAAAGGGUAUUGGAAACAUCUUAACCCUGACAUUUUAGGGUCAGAAAAUCUGUUUAGCCAUUGUAGAACUCCAGCAAUGAAAUGAAAUUUCUUCUAAGAAGCUUCAACAGUAGAAUUUUCCAAUAGAUCUUGCUUUAUAUUCAUUUCAGGGACCCUAAAGGAGAAAAAAAAUUUUUUUGGUCAUUUUGAGACAGGGUCUCACUAUGCAGUUCAGGCUGGCCUUGGGUUCACUUUGUAGCCCAGGCUGGUCUUGAACUUGCAAAUGGUUCUCUUGCUUCAGCUUCCCAAGUGCUGGGAUUACAGGAGUGUGCCACCAUGCCCAGCAAGAAGAAAUUUCUUCAUGGAGCAUGGAGGAUGGAUAGGGAAUUAAGUGACUGAUUUAAGAUCUCUUUCAAAUAUGAGUUUAUGGAUGCUGGGAAGAUGGCAAUCAAUAAGCAGCAAACUAAAGAGCCUCUCUGAGAGAAACAGCUCAAAUGCUGGAAUAAGACAUUGUGGAGAAGACCAAACAGAAGGAAAUGGAUCCUCCUGACCCAGGAAGAAACUAAAGGGGAAAAAAGAAAAGAAAAAUGUAGAUGGAAGGCUGUAUCCAGACAUGUUCUCAUCGGAGCCAGUCCCACUGUGUACAAAAUGCCACUGAAAUCCAAAGAUGCAUGGUUGCAGUAAAGUUGGUGGUUGGGGAGCCUGAGAGCCUCUGUUGGGACAAUGUGGUCACAGAGGGGAGUGGCAUAGUAGAGAACAGCACUGGUUCAGAGAUCUACACUUGCUUUCAGUAUGUGCAGGGAACUCAGUCUUCCUGUGGGAGAAGGCGAUUGGCUGGGCAACAUUUUGAAGUUGGGCAGGGUAUUUCUGGAACCAGAACUGCAGCAGCUUUAGCCAGUCACUCCUAGCAGAGAGCAGAUUGGUGAGAAUUGCUUGGACUGAGUCCCACCCCUGUGUACAAUUCAGUAGCCAAGGACAAGGUCACCCUGAAGCUAUCCCUAACCAGUGCCAUCCGUGCAGCACACACUAACGUAGUGAAGACUCCCAAGGGUUGACCAGCUCAGAAGGAAGGGGCCAGCCUGCCCUGCCCCUGCUUUUACUUCAGUGGUCACUAGCAGACUGGGGAGAACAGCAAUCCGUAGCCAGCAUGCUUCAGAGUAAUCAUAGCCAAAAACAGGAAGUGCUGGGGACCUCCACUAUCCACUUAUCUGGAAGAAACCAGAAACAUGGCAAGAGGAAGAAACAAAAGGAAGUCUCUAGCCUCCAACCCAAACAGUACUGGCUGAGAGAGAUAAAUAUAGAAGAGAUUGUUCCAAAAAAGUAAUAAGAACUGUGGGAGCAAUGAAACCCAAAAUGUGUAAUAGUCGUGGUACAAAAGAGAGGAAAAGAAAGUGCUCUAAACUAUAUAACUGCAUGUAUAUUUAAGUGUAUAAGAUAGAAAAUGAUAGCGCAGAGUUUUAUUGGAUCUUUGAACAGAACUGUUUGCAGUAUCAUUGAUGGAAUGUCCACUUUACAAGCUUUAAUUUUGUGACUGGAACAAUUAUUUCUAAGAUGACAAUAUGUAAUCCAUUAACUAGUGAUUUCCUACUGUUCAUUUUUUUUUUGUAAAUCUGUAUAACUUGUACCCUUUCUCUGUUUUUUUUUCUUUUCUCCUUAAAUAAAAUUAAAAAAAAUAUAUAGAA